rnacentral:rRNA from 1 species
UACGAAGGGGGCUAGCGUUGUUCGGAUUUACUGGGCGUAAAGCGCACGUAGGCGGAUCGUUAAGUCGGGGGUGAAAUCCUGGAGCUCAACUCCAGAACUGCCUUUGAUACUGAGAAGCUUGAGUCCGGGAGAGGUGAGUGGAACUGCGAGUGUAGAGGUGAAAUUCGUAGAUAUUCGCAAGAACACCAGUGGCGAAGGCGGCAUCCUGGACCGGCAUUGACGCUGAGGAGCGAAAGCCAGGGGAGCAAACGGG